GAAUCAUUAACCCAUUGCGCCACAGUGGAAACUCCUUAAAAUCUUAGCACAAGUGUACAUGCAACUUUUGGGAUAUAUGUGUACUUUAAGAAGUUAUGUAUUUUCACAGUGCCUGUCAUGGCGUAGCAGAAACGAAUCCAACCAGGAACCAUGAGGUUGCAGGUUCGAUUCCUGGCCUCGCUCAGUGGAUUAAGGAUCAUCUGGCGUUGCCAUGAGCUGUGGUAUAGGUUGCAGCAUUUGGAGAUUCCUGGGCCAGAGAGUGAAUUGGAAUUGGAACUGCAACCUGUGCCACAGCUGCAGCAAAACCAGAUCCCUAACCCACUGCGCUGGGCCAGGGAAUUGAACCGACACUGAACCAGUGCCUCCUAAUAGACAAGCUUGAUCAUUAACCCACUGCCCUACGCAGGAGCUCCUUAAUUGCAUAAGAAAGUUUCCUGGCCAGGGAUCAAAUCCAUGCUGGAGCUGCA